ACAGAUGGCAUUACCACGAACGGGAGAUUGUGCGACUGAACCUCCGCGCGGAGGCGUUGAAGAUGAUAGUCAUAGCAGCCGCAGGACCCUGAUGCACUCAAGAGUCCUCACGGUCACAAGCAGACUGAUAUAGUGCGUGAUUGAGACUGGGCUUAACAUCUGGCCCAUAUAAAAGAUUUAGUUUCAUUAUAGCCCACUCAAUCGCCCUCAUCUUCUAUCUGACAAGACUGCCUCCCUUCCCAGUAAAGCUAGGGUUUAAGGUUUAAGCCACCCUCUUCUCUCUGGAUUUCUUUCCGUUUCGAAAUUCUCUGCUUCAGUGGUUGAAUCUCACAAUUCAUUCUUUAAUAUUUAAGCUUAAAUCUGAGCUCAAUGCCUAGAAAAUCUAAAUCUGGCAAGGUACUUGAAAAAACGCAAGAAAUUGCUCCUGUAGAAGAUGAAAAGCCUUCUUCGAAGUCAAAAAAAGGAAGUAAAGAGAUUGAUGAAAAGCCUUCUUCGAAGUCUAAAAAAGUCAGUCAUGAGAUUGAUGAAAUUUUCGCUGGUAAAAAAAGGAAGAAACCUGAAGAAAAAAAAUCCCAGAAGUCAAAUAAAGAUGAAUCUGGUGAAACAAAAUUGGUGAAAAGGAAGAAAGAAAAUAAGAGUAAAGGAGUUGCAGAGGGUGGUUUCGCAGAUGCUCCUUCUCGGCCUAAGAAGAAAACUGAAGAUGGGUUUACUAUCUACACUGAAGAGGAGUUGGGUAUCAAUAAUUCUGAUGCUGGAAACACUCCGCUUUGUCCAUUUGAUUGUUCCUGUUGCUUUUAGUGGUACUUGCAGAUGGGUAUGUUCUCAUUUGAAUUUUUGUUGUUCUCUUUUGCGAUUUUUCAUUUGUCAUAUGUAGACUAUAAAUUAAACAUGAUUCAUCAGUGUUAAUUUCCCCCAUUUUUGAUAAUGAAGUUGUUAGACAUAGAGUAUGUAUUAUUAAAAGUGUUGAAGAGGAUUUUGGUGCAUUUGGAUGUGAAUAACUCUGUAAGUUACAGUAAAUCAUUCGACAUAGAAAUCAAGUGUAAUACUAAAGAACUUCUCAGUCCUGAGUAAGAUCUUUUCAUGCAGGAGUUUGUGAUUA